rnacentral:rRNA from 1 species
GACGAACGCUGGCGGCGUGCUUAACACAUGCAAGUCGAACGGAAAGACCCUGCUCUUGUGGGGUGCUCGAGUGGCGAACGGGUGAGUAACACGUGAGUAUCCUGCCCUUGUCUUUGUGAUAACUUCAGGAGACUGGGGCUAAUACCGCAUAGGAGCUCCUGCUGCGCGGUGGUGGUUGGAAAGUUUCGGCGGUUGUGGAUGGAUUCGCGGGUUAUCGGCUUGUUUGUGGGGUAGUUGCUUACCAAGGCUUUGACGGGUAGCCGGCCUGGGAGGGGUACCGGGGACCUGGGGACUGCGGGACGGAGCAGAAUCGUAUGGGCCGCAGUAGGGGGGAGUCUGGCACAAUGGGCCGGCGCGUGAUGCAGCAACGUCGCGUGCGUGAAGACGGCUUUUGGGUUGUGAACAGCUGUGGAAGGUGACGAAGAGUGAGUGACGGUAAUGGGUCAAGAAGCAACGGCUAACUACGUG